rnacentral:rRNA from 1 species
GCAAGUCGAACGGUAUAUGGUGCUUGCACCAUAGAGAGUGGCGAACGGGUGAGUAACACGUAGAUGAUCUACCUUUUAGUUGGGGAUAGCCCAUGGAAACAUGGAGUAAUACCGAAUAAUCUUUUUUUGCUUUAGUGAAUUGAGGAAAGCAGCGUUUGCUGUGCUGAAAGAUGAGUCUGCGCACUAUUAGCUAGUUGGUGGGGUAAGAGCCUACCAAGGCGAAGAUAGUUAGCCGACCUGAGAGGGUGAUC